rnacentral:rRNA from 1 species
AGUUCGAGCGGAUGACGGGAGCUUGCUCCUUGAUUCAGCGGCGGACGGGUGAGUAAUGCCUAGGAAUCUGCCUGGUAGUGGGGGACAACGUUUCGAAAGGAACGCUAAUACCGCAUACGUCCUACGGGAGAAAGCAGGGGACCUUCGGGCCUUGCGCUAUCAGAUGAGCCUAGGUCGGAUUAGCUAGUUGGUGGGGUAAUGGCUCACCAAGGCGACGAUCCGUAACUGGUCUGAGAGGAUGAUCAGUCACACUGGAACUGAGACACGGUCCAGACUCCUACGGGAGGCAGCAGUGGGGAAUAUUGGACAAUGGGCGAAAGCCUGAUCCAGCCAUGCCGCGUGUGUGAAGAAGGUCUUCGGAUUGUAAAGCACUUUAAGUUGGGAGGAAGGGCAGUAAGCUAAUACCUUGCUGUUUUGACGUUACCGACAGAAUAAGCACCGGCUAACUCUGUGCCAGCAGCCGCGGUAAUACAGAGGGUGCAAGCGUUAAUCGGAAUUACUGGGCGUAAAGCGCGCGUAGGUGGUUUGUUAAGUUGGAUGUGAAAGCCCCGGGCUCAACCUGGGAACUGCAUCCAAAACUGGCAAGCUAGAGUACGGUAGAGGGUGGUGGAAUUUCCUGUGUAGCGGUGAAAUGCGUAGAUAUAGGAAGGAACACCAGUGGCGAAAGCGACCACCUGGACUGAUACUGACACUGAGGUGC